GAUAAACGCUGGCGGCGUGCCUAAUGCAUGCAAGUCGCACGGAGUGCUCUUUCGGGGGCAUUGAGUGGCGAACGGGUGAGGAACGCGUGGAGAACCUACCCCGGCGUGGGGGAUACCCGCCAGAAAUGGCGGCUAAUACCGCGUACGGUUGCCCGACGAGGGGUUGGGCAAAGAAAGCAGUGAUGCGCGCUGGGAGGGGUCUGCGCCCGAUUAGCUGGUUGGUGGGGUAACGGCUCACCAAGGCGGUGAUCGGUAGCUGGUCUGAGAGGAUGAUCAG
rnacentral:rRNA from 1 species